rnacentral:lncRNA from 1 species
GCCCUCCCAGCUGGCCCAUGGGUGACCCUGGGAACAUUAACUGCCUCACAACGUUUGUGCCUCAGUUACCCGUAGAUGUAGUGAGGGUAACAAUACUUACUCUCGUUGGUGAUAAGGAACAGCUAACACAACACACAGGGUUUUUCUGCUCCCAAAAUGGGAUUCUUCAGUGCACCAAAUCGAAGAAAGCACUGGAGCUCACGCUGGUUUCUCCAUUGUUUCUCCUUAACAGUGGAAACCGUAACUUUUGUUCUAGUAGCAUCUAGCAUGCUCAAUAAUUAUUUGUAAAUAAAAGUUAUACUUUCCCUCCAAAGGGGACAAGGUAUUGUUAUGACAAGGCUUUUAAAUAAUAAAGCUCCUGCGAAUAGCUAA